GUACAGUGACACAUGAUAACAGUGAGAAUGUGAAAAAUUGUGAGCUCCGCACAUCGUCCUGAAGCAAUUUUCGUGCUAAUGGCAGAAUAAAGUAAUUAAAAUAGCUGCCAAGGGGGAAAUCAUCAGAAAUUUAUGUAAAGAGGAACCUCCUAAAAGAAAAGACAAUUCUGAAACAAAAUCAACUAAUGUACAAAAGAUUGAUGAAACUCAUCAACAAAGGACAAACAACACAAAAACCUCUUAUGUUGUCCCGAAAAUACGUCAGAUCAAGCACAGAAAUUUACUAAAGGCGAAUUUUCAAAAUUAAUGCUGGAUAGAAGCAAUAUGCAUCUCGAUAUUUUGAAAUAUAUUCAAAAUUGUUCAACUACAUUAAAUUAAUGCCAAAUGUAGGAGACCCCGCGAAUAGUUGUGAGGACUAUGCUGAUAAAACUAGGAAUUUUACUUAGGAGCAAAGAUCAUCAAUCCUAAAAUAUUUAUGUGACAAUGUUCAUCCAAUCACCUUGCAACACCUUGAUGUACAUGUACCAAGUCUAAUGCAUGUCACUAUUACAUGCACUUUGAUACACAGACCAUCCAACUUUGAUUCAGGCUUUUUACAUCAUAUGGCUGAUCUAGAUGCUGUUUUAAGAGCACAGUCUGUACUGUUUGUGAUUGAAGAAGAAGUGGAAACAAAGCCAGAAAAUCUGUUGAGUCAUACAUAUAUUCUGUUUAAUAUGUCCCGAAACACAAACUUCAGCGAAGACCUACUUUAGAAAAGAUGCAUGGCAGCUUGUUUUAAAUACUCUCAAAGUAUUAGAAGAUAUGUAUAUUAGUAACACUCAGAAGUAUUAUGAUAAGAUUUCUCCAUGCCAGACAAGAAAAGGCAAAGCUUUAAUAGGUCCAGUUGAAGGAAGAAUAUUCAAAAAGUUUUCAAAAAGGACAUCAGACCAGAUUAAAUCAAGAAAAAGAAGUGUGGACAAUUCUUCAUUAAAAGCUAGGAAAUCCUUUACAAAUGAAGAUAUAGUUUUCCAUUAAAAGCUAGGAAAUCCCUUACAAGUGAAGAUAGUUCUCCAUUAAAAGCUAGGAAAUCCCUUACAAGUGAAGAUAGUUCUCCAUUAAAAGCUAGGAAAUCCCUUACAAGUGAAGAUAGUUCUCCAUUAAAAGCUAGGAAAUCCCUUACAAGUGAAGAUAGUUCUCCAUUAAAAGCAAUAAAAGAUGCAAUUACAGGACUUAUUAAUCAUUCAUCGACAAAAGAUAAAAAAUCAGAAAUAGGCAGAAAAAGAUCAGGAAAUAAGAAAAUAGAUGCAGCAGAAUCCAAGAAGUGUACAGUAAGACUGACUGAUAUUGGUACUAUUAAAAACUUGAAAACAUAUGUAAACAAGACAGAGAAAAAAAGAAAAAGAAGGAAGAUAUGUGUAAAGAACUUGUAAAAAAAAUGUUAAAUGUUAAAGGGGCACUAGCUGUCAAAUUC